UACGAACCGUCCAAACGUUAUUCGGAUUUAUUGGGCUUAAAGGGUACGUAGGCGGCCCUGUUAGUCGGGUGUGAAAUCCCUCGGCUCAACCGAGGAACUGCGCCCGAUACUGCAGGGCUUGAGGGAGACAGAGGUAAGCGGAACUGAUGGUGGAGCGGUGAAAUGCGUUGAUAUCAUCAGGAACACCAGUGGCGAAAGCGGCUUACUGGGUCUCUUCUGACGCUGAGGUACGAAAGCUAGGGGAGCGAACGGG
rnacentral:rRNA from 1 species